AGUUGCAACAAGCCUCUAAAGGUGGGGAAGCAUCUAGUAGUUGUAGCCAAGUGGUUAAUGCGGAAGCUCGCUUAGACAUGUGGGUCCAAUCUGUUGGGGGGAAGAAUAAAGGGAGGAUCUAUGGUGCUGGAGAUAGAUCCUCGCUUUAUAGACCAGAUAGCAGCAUUUGAGGAGCGAGCAAAAGCGGCAGAACACGAGGCACGAGAGGCGCGAUAGGAGCUAAGGAAAGUUGAGCAACGUCGACAAGAGGAAGUUCAACAAACAGAGCAACACACUACAAAACUACAGAUGCAGCUAGCAACAUUGGCAAAAAGUGUUGCUUCCAUACAGGCUGAGUCAUCCCGUCGUCGUCGUCAUCCAGAUUAUUACGAGGAUGAGUCUAACGAUGAUGACGGCGAGGAGUAAUACUGGUUUCAGUUUCAGUUUCGUAUAGUAGUUAUGACUACUUAUUUUGUUUAGACUUGUAGGUGUUAUCUAUAUAUAUUUCUACGAUAGUGUCGUUAUGUGUAUUUUGAAACUUAUGGCAGUAACAAUGUGCUUAUUUUGGAACUUAUGGCAGUAACAAUUGUCCUUAUUUUGAGACUUAUGGAAGUCAGAAUGUGUAUUUUGAAAACACUA